GAGGCUGGCGCUCACAGGACCCUGGAAAGUUAGUCUGAGAUGAGCGCCCGCGAGGUGUUCUGGAAGACGUGGCCCUCUGACGAACAAUGAGCGCGGGGACCUCUGGGAGAUGGAGUCUGAAGCGGGAGACCACCGUGCAUUCUGGGAGACGCGGUCCUCUGAUAUUUUUUUUGAGAGGCAGCAAGACUGAUAGACAGAACUCUCAUGCACUGGUUCAUGCACCAAGCACCUGCAACAGACAGGCUUCGGCCAGGCCAAAGCCAGGAGCUGGAAGUUCAAUCCAGGUCUCCCACACCCAAGUAUUGGAUCCCUUCUGAGAGUCUGCAUUAGCUGGAAGCUGGAAUUAGGAGCAGAGACAAGACUUCAACCCAGGCACUCUGGAAAUCAGCUACAUUUGUUGCUGUGGAUUCAUUCUGAGAGGAGGAGCAUGGUGGGGGCAAGAGGCGUGGAGUCACCACACAGACCCCGGGAGUCAGGUGAAAGCAGGCCAGAGGCGAGCAGCCCACAGACUCAUCUAUUUCAGUUGCAACAGCAGCUUAA